CCUACGGGAGGCAGCAGUGAGGAAUAUUGGUCAAUGGACGAGAGUCUGAACCAGCCAAGUAGCGUGAAGGAUGACUGCCCUAUGGGUUGUAAACUUCUUUUAUAUUGGAAUAAAAUGUUCCACGUGUGGGAUUUUGUAUGUACCAUAUGAAUAAGGAUCGGCUAACUCCGUGCCAGCAGCCGCGGUAAUACGGAGGAUCCGAGCGUUAUCCGGAUUUAUUGGGUUUAAAGGGAGCGUAGGUGGAUUGUUAAGUCAGUUGUGAAAGUUUGCGGCUCAACCGUAAAAUUGCAGUUGAAACUGGCAGUCUUGAGUACAGUAGAGGUGGGCGGAAUUCGUGGUGUAGCGGUGAAAUGCUUAGAUAUCACGAAGAACUCCGAUUGCGAAGGCAGUUCACUGGACUGCAACUGACACUGAGGCUCGAAAGUGUGGGUAUCAAACAGGAUUAGAUACCCGUGUAGUC
rnacentral:rRNA from 1 species